GCAAAUUACCCACUCCCGGCACGGGGAGGUAGUGACGAAAAAUAACGAUACGGGACUCAUCCGAGGCCCCGUAAUCGGAAUGAGCACACUUUAAAUCCUUUAACGAGUAUCCAUUGGAGGGCAAGUCUGGUGCCAGCAGCCGCGGUAAUUCCAGCUCCAAUAGCGUAUAUUAAAGUUGUUGCGGUUAAAAAGCUCGUAGUCGGACUUGUGUCACACGCUGCCGGUUCACCGCCCGUCGGUGUCUAACUGGCAUGCACGUGCUGACGUCCUGCCGGUGGCCCGAGCCGGCCCGGGAGUCUGGGUGCGGGAUUCCCUUCGGGGGCCCGCCUCGAACCCGGUGUCUGGGGAGGGCCUACUCAUACCCCUCGCGGUGCUCUUAACCGAGUGUCUCGAUGGGCCGGCACGUUUACUUUGAACAAAUUAGAGUGCUUAAAGCAGGCAGCAUCCGCCUGAAUACUGAGUGCAUGGAAUAAUGGAAUAGGACCUCGGUUCUAUUUUGUUGGUUUUCGGAAUCCCCGAGGUAAUGAUCAAUAGGGACAGACGGGGGCAUUCGUAUUGCGACGUUAGAGGUGAAAUUCUUGGAUCGUCGCAAGACGGACCGAAGCGAAAGCAUUUGCCAAGAAUGUUUUCUCUGAUCAAGAACGAAAGUUAGAGGUUCGAAGGCGAUCAGAUACCGCCCUAGUUCUAACCAUAAACGAUGCCAGCCAGCAAUCCGCCGAAGUUCCUCCGAUGACUCGGCGGGCGGCUUCCGGGAAACCAAAGCUUUUGGGUUCCGGGGGAAGUAUGGUUGCAAAGCUGAAACUUAAAGGAAUUGACGGAAGGGCACCACCAGGAGUGGAGCCUGCGGCUUAAUUUGACUCAACACGGGAAACCUCACCAGGCCCGGACACCGGGAGGAUUGACAGAUUGAGAGCUCUUUCUUGAUUCGGUGGGUGGUGGUGCAUGGCCGUUCUUAGUUGGU
rnacentral:rRNA from 1 species